rnacentral:misc_RNA from 1 species
GAAUUUUUGGGAAAUGGGUGGCCGGACGAUGGAAUGGGCGGCGAGAGCAAACCACCUGGGGGGUAUACCUCGGAAAGUGGUGAUCACGGCGAUAGGUACUUUCGCUAAGGCGGUGGCCAAUCUAUUGAACACCACCACCGUGCACAACGGCGACGUCCUUAUCCGGCUAGUUCGAUCCCGCCCAGCCGGCGUUCCUCUCCUCACCGUCAGCAAUCACAUGUCCACUUUAGAUGACCCAGUUAUGUGGGCAUUCAAAGGUUUUCCAAUUUGUGAUGCAAAGCUGGCUCGAUGGGUACUGGCAGCGGAAGACAUAUGCUUUAAAAAUACAGUAUUGUCAUACUUUUUCCGGAUCGGGAAAUGUAUACCAA